GAUGAACGCUAGCUACAGGCUUAACACAUGCAAGUCGAGGGGAAACGACAUCGAAAGCUUGCUUUUGAUGGGCGUCGACCGGCGCACGGGUGAGUAACGCGUAUCCAACCUGCCCACCACUUGGGGAUAACCUUGCGAAAGUAAGACUAAUACCCGAUGAUAUCCCUAGAAGACAUCUGAAAGGGAUUAAAGAUUUAUCGGUGAUGGAUGGGGAUGCGUCUGAUUAGCUUGUUGGCGGGUAACGGCCCACCAAGGCGACGAUCAGUAGGGGUUCUGAGAGGAAGGUCCCCCACAUUGGAACUGAGACACGGUCCAAACUCCUACGGGGAGGCAGCAGUGAGGAAUAUUGGUCAAUGGGCGAGAGCCUUGAACCAGCCAAGUAGCGUGCAGGACGACGGCCCUAUGGGUUGUAAACUGCUUUUAUAAGGGAAUAAAGUGAGUCUCGUGAGACUUUUUGCAUGUACCUAUGAAUAAGGACCGGCUAAUUCCGUG
rnacentral:rRNA from 1 species